GAAGCGCGAACCAAGCGGGCGCGUCAAAGCGCUGUGAGACUUGGAGCGGGCGACCGCAAGGGCGUCCUGCA
ncrna:unclassified sequences Transposase-2 RNA